rnacentral:tRNA from 1 species
GGUAAAAUGGCUGAGUAAAGCAAUAGACUGUAAAUCUAAGAACAGAGGUCUAAUUCCUCUUUUUACCA